GACGAACGCUAGCGACGUGCCUAAGGUAUGCAAGUCGAGCGGACCCGCAAGGGUUAGCGGCGAACGGUUGAGUAACACGUAGACAACCUGCCUCGAAGUGGGGGACAACAGCGGGAAACUGCUGCUAAUACCGGCAUGUGGCGGGCCCGGAGCCUUCCGGGUUGGCUAAAGGAUUUAUUCGGCUUCGAGAUGGGUCUGCGGCCUAUCAGCUUGUUGGGUGGGGUAACGGGCCUACCAAGGCGACGAC
rnacentral:rRNA from 1 species